CACCUCCUUUUCUCUUCCUGGCGGAACUCGUUCGAGAAGCCAUUUCUUUUCUUGGGCGAUAACCAUCCUUAUAUACUCACCAAUCUCGUCUGAUCCCUUAUUGUUCAAGAAAAUCUUGAUGUCGAUGUCAAUCCCUCUAAGUUGGGUUUUACAGAUCUUGAUCAUUCGUGGACUAAAACUAGGUCGUGGAAAGAUCCAUACGAGGCGUUGCUUAACACAUUGGAAGAGAUCGAGCAGGAGAUGCAGUAGUCGGUCCUCUCUCUACAUUAUCGAUUAGGUCAAGCACAUAUGGUUUUAGUGAGUGGGGUCGUCGGUGAGUGGAUAAAGUCCAACUAUGCUUAGGACGGAGGAAACCAGAAGAUGGUGACGGAUACAACAGCUUCGGUGGCAAUGGAUGAAGCAGCACAAGAAGGUAUGAUGGAGCUAGUGAACAUGGAUAUGUAAAACG